AGUGAACGCUGGCGGUAGGCCUAACACAUGCAAGUCGAACGGUAGCACAGUAAGAGCUUGCUCUUACGGGUGGCGAGUGGCGGACGGGUGAGGAAUACAUCGGAAUCUACUUUUUCGUGGGGGAUAACGUAGGGAAACUUACGCUAAUACCGAAUACGACCUACGGGUGAAAGCAGGGGAUCUUAGGACCUUGCGCGAUUGAAUGAGCCGAUGUCGGAUUAGCUAGUUGGCGGGGUAAAGGCCCACCAAGGCGACGAUCCGUAGCUGGUCUGAGAGGAUGAUCAGCCACACUGGAACUGAGACACGGUCCAGACUCCUACGGGAGGCAGCAGUGGGGAAUAUUGGACAAUGGGCGCAAGCCUGAUCCAGCCAUGCCGCGUGAGUGAAGAAGGCCUUCGGGUUGUAAAGCCCUUUUGUUAGGAAAGAAAAGCAGCAGGUUUAUACCCCGCUGUUCUGACGGUACCCAAAGAAUAAGCACCGGCUAACUUCGUG
rnacentral:rRNA from 1 species